UAAACCAUAUGAAUGCCAUGCAAUGCAACGUUGGUCAUUCUUAGGCAUGCUCUCCUCCUACUUGAUUUUCACAUGAUUGGGCCAUAAAUAAAUCCUUGGCCAAAGCCCAUGCAAUCCCUUAUCAUGAGUAUUGCAGCUAACGUGAACUUAUGUUUCACUUAUUUACAUACAACCUGAGGCUUAUUUCCCUCCUAUUUCAUCUGUUCACGUUUCUAUUUUCCAAAACCUAAUAUUUUCAUUCCCUUCUAAACAACAUCAGCGCCAUUCUUUCAAGCAUUCUGAGAUCAGAAAAUCUCAUCAAUCAUCUAUCUUCAUUUGUUCCAUUCAUUCACGUUAAUCCGGUAUAAUUCUGAGUUGUGUUGAUUCGUUUAUCUAUUCCGAUUGUUCUCUACCAUCGCUACGUUUCGGAAUCAAUUGGCCCUGUUUAGCUUGGCAAAUCGAACCUCAUCCCAUCUCUGAAUCAUCAAGCUUGUUGUUCUCCAAACGGUACGUACCAAACUCUCGUUUCGUUGCCGUUUCGAUUCCGCCGUGUUCAUGUUAUGUGGCUGCCGUUUCUUGUGUUUUAGUUGCUUCUAUUGAUUACGGUUGAUAAAUAAUCAUUUAAUUGUUUUGCUUUACGGAUGCAACACGGUUUCGUUGCUUAAGUUGUUAAUCUCGGCUGCCAUUAUUUUGCUUAUGUUCCUUAUUCUUGGUUUAUGUAUAAUAGGUUCUAAUAUGUUGUUACUGCAUUUGGCAGAUUAUGGCUA